rnacentral:lncRNA from 1 species
CCAACCCAGGGAGAGACAAUCAACUCCACUCAACAUUUGCUGGGUCCCUCUUCUGUGGGCCGCGAUAGAAAGUCACCACAGCAGUCUUGUUGCAGAAGUUCCCGUUGGGGCUCCCGUUGUUCCCACUGAACCCAAACAUUGACUGGACCAUAAGAUGAUGCUGGGGACAUGUCAGGAAUAAGGCCAGAAACCCUGCAAGCCCCUCAGGAGCCUAUUCUGCUCAUCUGAACACCUAACUGCCAACUUUCUGAAGCAGCCCAGCUUCCCAGAACUGAAGUCACCAAGCCAAGACGAAGAGAACGCUGGGACCUGGAGGGAGACGUAUCUUAAAAGAAAUAAGAAUGAAGCUCAAAAAUUCAUCUCAAACAUGAAAAAAUGAAAUAUUGCAGUUACAGUUUCUAAUGCAAAGAUUUUUUUAAAGGUGAAAAAACUGAGGGGCAGAGGAAAGUAGAGACAAAAAGAAAUGGGCAAAGACACACCCAGAGUGCCAGCCUUGACCGUGACUUAUAUGGAGUCACAGCCCUGAAGUUUGGCUUUUUAAGAUAUAAAGGUGUGGCUAGGUUUUCACAAACAUAAGCAGAAAUAUGGGCAAUACGUUUCCUGGGACCUGGUGACACUGAGGAUAAAAUUCAGGCCAGAACCAGAGGUCUCUUAGCCUUGGUGGAAAACAAGGGAGAUAAAUUAUUUAGGUAGAGGAACAUUGAACUUCCAGAACUAAGCUACUGCCCCGGCU